rnacentral:rRNA from 1 species
GACAGAGGGUGCAAACGUUGUUCGGAAUUACUGGGCGUAAAGCGCGUGUAGGCUGCUCUGCAAGUCGGAUGUGAAAGCCCUCGGCUCAACCAAGGAAGUGCAUCCGAAACUGCAGAGCUUGAGUACUUAAGAGGAUCGCGGAAUUCCCGGUGUAGAGGUGAAAUUCGUAGAUAUCGGGAGGAACACCAGUGGCGAAGGCGGCGAUCUGGGAAGAUACUGACGCUGAGGUGCGAAAGCGUGGGGAGCAAACAGG